AUCUCAACCUUCUUAAACUCAUUGAUUUUUCAUGCAAUAGAUUGAGUGGAAACAUUCCCCAAUCUUUUUCCAGUAUGAGGGGAUUGAUUUCCUUGAACCUAUCAUCAAAUAGGUUCACAGGCAACAUAAUUCCAUAUAUUGGUGAGAUGGAGAUGUUGGAAUGUCUUGAUCUAUCAAACAAUCAAUUGUCUGGAAAAAUACCCACAAGCUUGGCACAACUAAAGUACUUGGCUGUUCUUGAUUUGUCAAACAACAUUUUGUCUGGAGAAAUUCCAACAAGCACUCAACUCCAGAGCUUCAAUGCAUCUGCUUACGCCAAGAAUGAGGGACUCUGUGGGAUCCCUCUCGCGUUGUGCCCUGGAGAUAUCUUGAAGCCAUCCACUCCUAAUAUGGAGAAAGACCACAGACUCUCGUUUAUGCAAGAAGUGGGCAUAUCAAUGGCCUUCGGUUUUAUAUUUGGAUUUUGGGGUGUUAUUGGUACUUUCGUACUCAAGAAAUCUUGGAGAAUUGCAUUCUUCAACUUCUUUGAUACCGUUGGAGAUUGGAUCUAUGUGAGGAUUGCUAUAUCUAUGUCCAAAUUGAGCAGAAGCUGAAAUACCAAAGGUGGACAAGCUGGUAGAUGGAACAAGAAGAAGGAACAACAACUAUUGCUUAUGAAUAGUUUUGGUACCUUCAAUUAUAGUCCCCGGUUUAAGUGCUUUAAUUUCCUAGUACAUUUUAUAAGUGUUGGUAAUGUAUUAUGAUUAGUGAUGAUGUAAUAGUGUGUGUACUUUAUUGUCAAAUAAAGUGUUUUUCCUACUUUUUGUUAUCAUGAUGUUAAAUUAUACGAUGCAUUUGGUUUUAUAUUUGGAUUUUGGGGAGUUGUUGGUUGUUUCAUACUCAAGAAACCAUGGAGAAUUUCAUUUUUCAACUUGUUUGAUUCAGUUGGAGAUUGGUUCUAUAUAUGUGAGGAUUGCUAUAUUUGUA